rnacentral:rRNA from 1 species
AUUGAACGCUGGCGGUAUGCUUAACACAUGCAAGUCGAACGGUAGCAGGCCUUCGGGCGCUGACGAGUGGCGGACGGGUGAGUAAUGCAUAGGAAUCUGCCUCGUAGUGGGGGACAACUUAGGGAAACUUAAGCUAAUACCGCAUACGCCCUUCGGGGGAAAGCGGGGGAUUGUAAGACCUCGCGCUAUGAGAUGAGCCUAUGUUGGAUUAGCUAGUUGGUAGGGUAAAGGCCUACCAAGGCUGCGAUCCAUAGCUGGUCUGAGAGGAUGAUCAGCCACACUGGGACUGAGACACGGCCCAGACUCCUACGGGAGGCAGCAGUGGGGAAUAUUGGACAAUGGGCGCAAGCCUGAUCCAGCAAUACCGCGUGUGUGAAGAAGGCCUGAGGGUUGUAAAGCACUUUCAAUAGGGAGGAAAAAGGUAGGUUUAAUACGUCUGCCCUUGACAUUACCUAUAGAAGAAGCACCGGCUAACUCCGUG